CCCUGGGGAAAGGAGGUAGGCGGUGAUCUUAGGCAAAUCCGGGAUCACUUACGCCGAGCACCGAGACGAGUCCUAUGAGGACGAAGUGACUGACACCACGCUUCCAGGAAAAGCCACUAAGCUUCAGCUUAAGAAAAACCGUACCGCAAACCGACACAGGUAGGCAGGGUGAGAAUCCCAAGGCGCUUGAGAGAACUCGGGUGAAGGAACUAGGCAAAAUGGCACCGUAACUUCGGGAGAAGGUGCGCCCUUUGGUGUGGUCACGUGCGUGACUGAGCAUUGAAGGGUCGCAGUAACCUGGCCGCUGCGACUGUUUAUCAAAAACACAGCACUCUGCAAACACGAAAGUGGACGUAUAGGGUGUGACGCCUGCCCGGUGCUGGAAGGUUAAUUGAUGGGGUCAGCCGCAAGGCGAAGCUCUUGAUCGUAGCCCCAGUAAACGGCGGCCGUAACAAUAACGGUCCUAAGGUAGCGAAAUUCCUUGUCGGGUAAGUUCCGACCUGCACGAAUGGCGUAACGACAGCGGCGCUGUCUCCACCCGAGACUCAGUGAAAUUGAAAUCGCUGUGAAGAUGCAGCGUUCCCGCGGCAAGACGGAAAGACCCCGUGAACCUUUACUAUAGCUUUACACUGAACGUUGAGUUCUUCUGUGUAGGAUAGGUGGGAGGCUAUGAAACCAGGACGCUAGUUCUGGUGGAGCCAUCCUUGAAAUACCACCCUGAAGUGCUUGACGUUCUAACCUAGGCCCGUAAUCCGGGUCAGGGACCGUGUAUGGUGGGUAGUUUGACUGGGGCGGUCUCCUCCCAAAGAGUAACGGAGGAGCACGAAGGUACGCUCAGCGCGGUCGGACAUCGCGCACUGUGUGCAAAGGCAUAAGCGUGCUUGACUGCGAGAUCGACGGAUCAAGCAGGUACGAAAGUAGGUCUUAGUGAUCCGGUGGUUCUGUAUGGAAGGGCCAUCGCUCAACGGAUAAAAGGUACUCCGGGGAUAACAGGCUGAUACCGCCCAAGAGUUCAUAUCGACGGCGGUGUUUGGCACCUCGAUGUCGGCUCAUCACAUCCUGGGGCUGUAGCCGGUCCCAAGGGUAUGGCUGUUCGCCAUUUAAAGUGGUACGCGAGCUGGGUUCAGAACGUCGUGAGACAGUUCGGUCCCUAUCUGUCGUGGGCGUUGGAGAUUUGAGGGGGGCUGCUCCUAGUACGAGAGGACCGGAGUGGACGUUCCGCUGGUGUUCGGGUUGUCAUGCCCAUGGCAUUGCCCGGUAGCUACGAACGGAAGUGAUAACCGCUGAAAGCAUCUAAGCGGGAAGCACGCCCCAAGAUGAGAUCUCCCGAGAGCUUGACUCUCCUAAAGGCACCAUCAAGACUAGGUGGUUGAUAGGUCAGGUGUGGAAGCGCAGCAAUGCGUUGAGCUAACUGAUACUAAUGAGCCGUGAGGCUUGACC
rnacentral:rRNA from 1 species